UAUAGCUAUGUACAGAUACGUGUGUGAGAGUGCAGCUGGUGGGGUGUGCUGUGGAGAAGGCAUGGAGAAGCCGAGAGUGCUGGAGGCACCAGAACAUGAAUGUCCAUCGCUGAAAGGCAAUGUGCUGUCUGGAGUCACCUCCUGGAGAGCAAGAGGGCAGAACUCUGUCCCUCUGUCUUCAUUAGGUCCCAUCGCGCAGCUCAAGGAAGGGGGAAGCAACUCCCAGCACUCGGGGUCCAGCCAGAGGUUUCUACCUGAGUCCCUUCUCAUAUCCUGAGGGUUGGGACAUGAGAUGGGUGACUGAGAAGAACAGGACAGGAGCACAGGUGGACUUGUAUCAUCCUCCUAUUGAUAACAGACAAAAAUCACCCCAUCUGACUAGAGAAAUCCUCAGGGCCAGACGCCACAAGGUAGAUUUUGAGUAACUUAAUUUUGUUGUUACCCGCUGCCUUUCUGUGACUUUCCUGUGAGUCAGCCACAGAGAAUUGACCUGCUCUCCACGAGUGCUCUGAGUGGCUCUCUAGUGGGCACACCGGCCAUCCGUCCUACCCCCAGCACCCCACACUAAGCCAAGCCCUGGAGCUAGCACCAGCAAGAACACACCAGGUCCUUUCACAGAUGCUCCUCUUUCUCAGUCUGCCGGGGUGAUAGUUAUACCUUAAGCCUUUUUCAUGACUGUGGGUUUUUCCUUUAAGCUGGACUUUGGCAUCUGCUUUAGCUUGGGAAAAUUUGUACUACUGCCUGCAUGGCACUUUUUUUUUUUUUUUUAAAUCUGCAACCUGAGGGGAUGUUAGGACCACCUCCACCCCGGGGCCUCUGAGACUUGGUUAGAGAAUGAGGUGGGAGAGGUCAUGUGACACCACUGAAACAGCACAGCAGUUCUGGUCAGACUCACCCAGUGACCCUUGGUGCAGACUUCUUCCUGGAUUUUUUUGCCUUAGGGCUUUCUCUCUUCUUGUCCACAGCACACCAGAAGUACGCCCAGGGAGAACCCUCCGCAGGGAGGGGCAGGGCUUGGUGAGCGUGUCUCCUUCCACGUUCCUCGGAUGAUGCUUUUAAAGAUCUUGUCACGUAGGCGGGGGUGUGGCUUGGUUGGUAGUGAGCAUAGCUAGCCCUGAGCUGACUCCCCAGCACUGCAUAGAACAGGCAUGUGUGGUGGCUCAUGCUGUAAUCCUAGCUCUCCGGAGGUAGAGGUGGGCGGGAACUGAAGUUGAAGGUUAUCUUUGACAACAUAGCUAGCUCAAAGCCAGCUUGGCCUAUACAAGCUCUGUCUUCAG
rnacentral:lncRNA from 1 species